rnacentral:rRNA from 1 species
AAUGAACGCUGGCGGCGCGCCUAAUACAUGCAAGUCGAGCGAGAAGACGUAGCAAUACGUUUGUAAAGCGGCGAACGGGUGAGGAAUACAUGGGUAACCUACCCUCGAGUGGGGAAUAACUAGCCGAAAGGUUAGCUAAUACCGCGUACGCUCCUUGGACUUCGGUUCAGGGAGGAAAGCGAUACCGUGGGUAUCGCGCUCUUGGUUGGGCUCAUGUCCUAUCAGCUUGUUGGUGAGGUAACGGCUCACCAAGGCUUCGACGGGUAGCUGGUCUGAGAGGACGAUCAGCCACACUGGCACUGCGACACGGGCCAGACUCCUACGGAGGCAGCAGUAAGGAAUAUUGCGCAAUGGGCGAAAGCCUGACGCG